UGACCUGAUUGAUAUAUGGGUCAAAUUCCAUUAAGGUUCGGAACACCUCCGCCUCGGAGCCGCUGGAUCACGUCCUGUUUUCGCGUUUUGGCUUUGCUACUGCCGUUUGGCAUCCCUCUUGAACAGUCCGGUUAUUUAAUUAACAUGGCUAAAAUAUUGAUGAAUUUUUGUGGGGAACUACUACUGCAUUGUAAAAUACAAGUUACCAGGCAUUCAGCAAGGCAAUUUGCAUCAUCACUACAUAAAGCUUGUGAAGUGCGUGUUCGAUUUGCGCCAAGUCCUACUGGAAACCUACAUUUCGGGAGUUUGCGAACAGCUUUGUACAAUUUCCUUUUUGCAAAAUCCAACAAUGGGAAAUUCAUCUUAAGAAUUGAAGACACAGAUCAGACCAGACUUGUUCCUCAUGCAGCUAGGAUUCUUGAGGAUAUGCUAAUGUGGGCUAAAAUAUAUCCUGACGAAUCUCCAGUAGUUGGUGGACCACUUGGUCCUUACGUACAAUCACAGCGUCUAGAUCUUUACCAUGAUCAUAUUAAGAUUCUUCUGGAAAAUGGGAGUGCCUAUAAGUGUUUCUGUACAAGUAUGAGAUUGGAUUGGCUACGGAAUGAUGCCAUUAGAAGGAAUGAAACACCAAAGUAUGACAACAAAUGCAGACAUCUUUCUUCUUCCAAAAUUGAAAAACUAGAAAGAAAUGGAACACCAUAUUGCAUUAGAUUUAAGCUCGAGACAGUAACAGAGCCUUAUCAAGAUUUAGUGUAUGGUCCUGUUCUGUGUAAUGUGGCUGACAUUGAGGGGGACCCUGUGAUAAUGAAGUCUGAUGGCUAUCCAACUUACCACUUUGCUAAUGUUGUUGAUGAUCAUCUAAUGAAGAUAACUCAUGUUCUAAGAGGUGUGGAGUGGCAGGUAUCAACAUCAAAGCAUCUCCUUUUAUACAAAGCAUUUGACUGGAGUCCUCCAUUCUUUGGACACCUUCCUCUUAUCAUAAAUAAAGAUGGCAGUAAGCUUUCGAAGCGACAGGGAGAUCUUCACAUUGAACAUUAUCGAGACCAAGGAUUCACUCCAGAGGCUGUACUAAACUUUGUGACUGACAUUGGAGGAGGAUUCGAGAGCAGGGAACAUUGUACUUUCUUGUCUCUUGAAGAAUUAAUGGAGAAGUUCUCUCUCUCCCGGAUCUCCAAACAUUCCUGUCGAUUGGAUAAGGAAAAGUUGGAACUAUAUAGUCAGAUGGAUCUUCAGAGACGUUUAAGUAAUCCAAGUGACCUUCCAUUACUACUUUCCCAACUCCAUGACUUAAUUAAAGAAAAAUAUGGAGAGAAGCUUGCAAGCACUGCUCAAACAAAGGUUUUGAACUCUGAUUUUUUACAAAGAGUGCUGAACCUGCAUGAGGCAAGAAUUGUGAAUCUUCGUGAUUUAUUACAGCCUGAAUUUAUGUAUAUUUGGGUUAUACCAGACAGUCUUCCCAUACACCAACUGCCAGCAGUGCCUUGUAAACAUGCUGAAGUCUUGCAAAGUGUUUUGGAAGCCAUUAUUGCCUUACCCAAAAGCUUUGAUAAAGAACACAUAGUUAAAGCAGUUGAAGAUGUGAUGAAACAGUAUGGACUGAAGAUGCCUAUCAUCAUGAAGUUAAUAAGAAUGUCUAUCACUGGUAUGAAGGAAGGUCCUCCUAUUGGUGAAAUGAUGUCUAUGCUGGGACAAGAUAUAUCUGUAGAACGAAUAAGACAUGCAUUGAGUUUAUUGGAAGAUAAUUGAUUCCAGUCAAGAUGCCAAGCCGGAGCCAAGUGGAUCCAUGUCCUUGCAGAGCCAGUCGGGAUGAAGCGCCUUGAAAACGGACGACUGAAGCCAAAUUCGAGCGAGCCUGCAAGUCAUCUGCUACGAGGGCUACAGACAUCAAUGGCAACUGGGCAUGAAGCUACAUAAACUCAACAUUCCGGGAAUCACUGUUGUCGGCUAUUAGCAGAAUGGGUUAAGCAGUUCAAGAGCCACCACCUAAACACACCUAAAACACUGUUGAAACCUCACACCACUUGAGCAUGCAGGAAUGACAGAAGCCAUGCCAAGUCUAAGAGAAAACUCCAGAACCUCGUAGUGCAACCAGUAAGGCAAGAAAGACCCAAACUCAACGAGGCAAGGUCCAUCAUAGAAGCAGGCUCUAGGUUUCGCAGGAGGUAUUUAAAAAAAAUCCGCCUGAGCCUCCGAAGGAGGAGCCUUAGAGGAAGGAAACCUUCAGGACACAUUUGAUGGACUAAGACACGUGGAAACAAACCCCCAGGGGAUCCCGCAUUAAUAUCAAAAUCACACAAGGUAGGAGGAUAAGAAAACCCUUACCCUGAAGCAAAAAGCCCUCAUCAGACGACAUGGAGGACCAAGUGGGGUCCAGUGGAACCCAAGGGCCCCUCUCUGACACUUCCCUGUCCCCCAGAAACCAAACACCAUUGAAAGUUUUGGAGCAAUACCAUUACCUUACAUUAGUGGUCAUCUUUUAGAACCAUCAUUAUCAUCUCGUUAACUGUUUAUACUGCUGUACUGGGGAACAGACUUAUAUAACUAUAUUGGCAGGUCCUUGGCAACAACUGUGACAGCAACCAUUUACCUAUUGUCUCAUUCAACAAUCAAUUUACAUCUUCCCAUUAACCCUGUGAAGCCAUCCUUAUUUGUUCAUCUCUUUACAUAAUCUUCCCGGUUUGGUGCCUUCUUUUGAUAAUUACUUACUUGUUCAUCUCUUAAGGCCACUAUUUAUGGUCAUAUGUUAUCGUUAUUAUUGCAGGUUAGUUCACCAAUUAUGUUAAUUCUGUAUGUUAUAAUAGUUAAACAUACUGUAUUAUAAGUCUGGCAUUAAAUGCUAAAAUGAUCAUGCCACCUGGCUUCCUUCUAAAGGUCAACAGACCAGAAAAAAUGUACAAUAUAUUUUUUUACUUUCCCUACAAUUUUGUAUACAAAUGUAUCACUCUAAAGGGUAUUAA
rnacentral:misc_RNA from 1 species